AUUUGAGAAUGUACUAUUAUCUUGUAAACGGUCCAGAUCCCCACCCCUAAACCAUAUAUAUUCUUGUAGGGGACAAUAAAAAUGAAAUGAAAUAAAAGGGAAGUCCCGAGGGAGUCACCCCACCCCCUCUUGUUUGAAAACUUGUAAACGGUCAACAUCCCCACCCCUAAACCAUAUAUAAUCUUGUAGGGGACAAUAAAACAAAUGAAAUGAAAUAAAAGAAAAGUCCCGAGGUGGUCACCCCACCCCGUCUUGUUUGUAAACUUGUAAACGGUCAACAUCCCCACCACUAAACCAUAUAUAUUCUUGUAAGGGACAAUAAAACAAAUAAAAUGAAAUAAAAGGGAAGUCCCUAGGGGGUUACCCCACCCCUCUUGUUUGAAAAUUUGUAAAGGGUCAACAUCCCCCACCCUAAACCAUAUAUAUUCUUGUAUGGGACAAUAAAGCUAAUCAAAUGAAAUUAAAGGGAAGUUCCUGGGGGUCGCUCCCACCCUGUUCAAUUUGAUAAUGUGCUAUUAUCUUGUAAACGGUCCAGAUCCCCACCCCUAAACCAUAUAUAUUCUUGUAGGGGACAAUAAAACAAAUGAAAUGAUAUAGAAGGGAAGUCCCGAGGGGGUCACCCCACCCCCUCUUGUUUGAAAACUUGUAAACGAUCAACGUCCCCACCCCUAAACCAUAUAUAUUCUUGUAUGGGAC
rnacentral:lncRNA from 1 species